CUACGUGCCAGCAGCCGCGGUAAUACGGAAGGUCCAGGCGUUAUCCGGAUUUAUUGGGUUUAAAGGGAGCGUAGGCCGCCUCUUAAGCGUGUUGUGAAAUGCGGGUGCUCAACAUCCGACUUGCAGCGCGAACUGGGGGGCUUGAGUGCGCCGAAAGUAGGCGGAAUUCGUGGUGUAGCGGUGAAAUGCUUAGAUAUGACGAAGAACUCCGAUUGCGAAGGCAGCUGACGGGAGCGCAACUGACGCUUAAGCUCGAAGGUGCGGGUAUCAAACAGGAUUAGAUACCCUGGUAGUCCACGCCGUAAACGAUGAGUGCUAGGUGUUAGACCCUUUCCGGGGUUUAGUGCCGUAGCUAACGCAUUAAGCACUCCGCCUGGGGAGUACGACCGCAAGGUUGAAACUCAAAGGAAUUGACGGGGGCCCGCACAAGCGGUGGAGCAUGUGGUUUAAUUCGAAGCAACGCGAAGAACCUUACCAGGUCUUGACAUCC
rnacentral:rRNA from 1 species